AACCAGGAAACUUGGACUGUUCACAGUCCAACUCCUGGAGCAAGGUGGUGUUUGUCAAGCUGCAGUCAGAGCUUACCUCACAGUGUCCUCCUUCCAUCCUAGUUUGUAGCCCAGCUGCUGGGUUUCCUGAUCAGUGUGGUCAGCUCCAUAUUCUGUGGCCAUCUGGGGAAAGCUGAGCUGGAUGCUGUGACGCUGGCUGUGUCUGUUAUCAACGUGACGGGCAUCUCCAUUGGUUCUGGUUUAGCCUCAGCAUGCGACACGCUGAUGUCCCAGACCUAUGGCGGCAAGAACCUGAAGCAGGUGGGCACUAUCCUGCAGCGGGGGAUCCUUAUCCUGCUGCUGUGCUGUUUCCCGUGCUGGGCAAUCUUC